AACGAACGCUGGCGGCAUGCCUAACACAUGCAAGUCGAACGAGAUCUUCGGGUCUAGUGGCGCACGGGUGCGUAACGCGUGGGAAUCUGCCCUUUGGUUCGGAAUAACAGUUGGAAACGACUGCUAAUACCGGAUGAUGACGAAAGUCCAAAGAUUUAUCGCCAGAGGAUGAGCCCGCGUAGGAUUAGCUAGUUGGUGUGGUAAAGGCGCACCAAGGCGACGAUCCUUAGCUGGUCUGAGAGGAUGAUCAGCCACACUGGGACUGAGACACGGCCCAGACUCCGACGGGAGGCAGCAGUGGGGAAUAUUGGACAAUGGGCGAAAGCCUGAUCCAGCAAUGCCGCGGGAGUGAUAAAGGCCUUAGGGUUGUAAAGCUCUUUUCCCCGGGAUGAUAAUGACAGUACCGGGAGAAUAAGCUCCGGCUAACUCCGUGCCAGCCGCCGCAGUAA
rnacentral:rRNA from 1 species